AGAACGAACGCUGGCGGCAUGCCUAAUACAUGCAAGUCGAACGAACUCUUCGGAGUUAGUGGCGCACGGGUGCGUAACGCGUGGGAAUCUGCCCUUGGGUUCGGAAUAACAGUUGGAAACGACUGCUAAUACCGGAUGAUGACGAAAGUCCAAAGAUUUAUCGCCCAGGGAUGAGCCCGCGUAGGAUUAGCUAGUUGGUGAGGUAAAGGCUCACCAAGGCGACGAUCCUUAGCUGGUCUGAGAGGAUGAUCAGCCACACUGGGACUGAGACACGGCCCAGACUCCUACGGGAGGCAGCAGUAGGGAAUAUUGGACAAUGGGCGAAAGCCUGAUCCAGCAAUGCCGCGUGAGUGAUGAAGGCCUUAGGUGUAAAGCUCUUUACCCGGGAAGAUAAUGACUGUACCGGAGAAUAAGCUCGGCUAACUCCGUGCCAGCAGCCGAC
rnacentral:rRNA from 1 species